rnacentral:rRNA from 1 species
GACGAACGCUGGCGGCGUGCUUAACACAUGCAAGUCGAGCGGUAAGGCCCUUUCGGGGGUACGACGAGCGGCGAACGGGUGAGUAACACGUGGGUGACCUGCCCUUAGCUCUGGGAUAAGCCUGGGAAACGUGGGUCUAAUACCGGAUAUGACUCCAUGACGCAUGUUGUGGGGUGGAAAGCCUUGUGCGGCUAGGGAGUGGGCCUGCGGCCUAUCAGCUUGUUGGUGGGGUGAUGGCCUACCAAGGCGACGACGGGUAGGCCGGCCUGAGAGGGCGACCGGCCACACUGGGACUGAGACACGGCCCAGACUCCUACGGGAGGCAGCAGUGGGGAAUCUUGCGCAAUGGGCGAAAGCCUGACGCAGCGACGCCGCGUGGGGA